UACGAAGGGGGCUAGCGUUGUUCGGAAUUACUGGGCGUAAAGCGCGUGUAGGCGGGUCUUUAAGUCAGGGGUGAAAUGCCAAGGCUCAACCUUGGAACUGCCUUUGAUACUGGAGACCUUGAGUCCGGGAGAGGUGAGUGGAAUUGCGAGUGUAGAGGUGAAAUUCGUAGAUAUUUGCAAGAACACCAGUGGCGAAGGCGGCUCACUGGCCCGGAACUGACGCUGAGAUGCGAAAGCGUGGGGAGCAAACAGG
rnacentral:rRNA from 1 species